UGGGGGUAAGGUCAUAGAUCAACAGCAUCCC
rnacentral:piRNA from 1 species